CAGUCGCCGCGGGAAUACAGAGGGUGCGAGCGUUAAUCGGAUUUACUGGGCGUAAAGCGUGCGUAGGCGGCUUUUUAAGUCGGAUGUGAAAUCCCUGAUCUUAACUUAGGAAUUGCAUUCGAUACUGGGAAGCUAGAGUAUGGGAGAGGAUGGUAGAAUUCCAGGUGUAGCGGUGAAAUGCGUAGAGAUCUGGAGGAAUACCGAUGGCGAAGGCAGCCAUCUGGCCUAAUACUGACGCUGAGGUACGAAAGCAUGGGGAGCAAACAGGAUUAGAUACCCCUGUAGUCCCUGUCUCUUAUAC
rnacentral:rRNA from 1 species